AACGAACGCUGGCGGCAUGCCUAACAUAUGCAAGUCGAACGAGACCUUCGGGUCUAGUGGCGCACGGGUGCGUAACGCGUGGGAACCUGCCCUUAGGUUCGGAAUAACUCCCCGAAAGGGGUGCUAAUACCGGAUAAUGUCUUCGGACCAAAGAUUUAUCGCCUUUGGAUGGGCCCGCGUUGGAUUAGCUAGUUGGUAGGGUAAAAGCCUACCAAGGCGACGAUCCAUAGCUGGUCUGAGAGGAUGAUCAGCCGCACUGGGACUGAGACACGGCCCAGACUCCUACGGGAGGCAGCAGUGGGGAAUAUUGGACAAUGGGCGAAAGCCUGAUCCAGCAAUGCCGCGUGAGUGAUGAAGGCCUUAGGGUUGUAAAGCUCUUUUACCCGGGAUGAUAAUGACAGUACCGGGAGAAUAAGCUCCGGCUAACUCCGUG
rnacentral:rRNA from 1 species